rnacentral:rRNA from 4 species
AGACCCGAAACCCGGUGAUCUAGCCAUGGGCAGGUUGAAGGUUGGGUAACACUAACUGGAGGACCGAACCGACUAAUGUUGAAAAAUUAGCGGAUGACCUGUGGCUGGGGGUGAAAGGCCAAUCAAACCGGGAGAUAGCUGGUUCUCCCCGAAAGCUAUUUAGGUAGCGCCUCGUGAAUUCAUCUCCGGGGGUAGAGCACUGUUUCGGCUAGGGGGCCAUCCCGGCUUACCAACCCGAUGCAAACUGCGAAUACCGGAGAAUGUUAUCACGGGAGACACACGGCGGGUGCUAACGUCCGUCGUGAAGAGGGAAACAACCCAGACCGCCAGCUAAGGUCCCAAAGUCAUGGUUAAGUGGGAAACGAUGUGGGAAGGCCCAGACAGCCAGGAUGUUGGCUUAGAAGCAGCCAUCAUUUAAAGAAAGCGUAAUAGCUCACUGGUCGAGUCGGCCUGCGCGGAAGAUGUAACGGGGCUAAACCAUGCACCGAAGCUGCGGCAGCGAACGUAUCACUUAAAGCGAUUCAGCGGGUUACGAUUGACGGAGCGAAGCGACGUCAA